UGUUUAACACAUGCAAGUCGAACGGAAACGAAAAUAGCUUGCUAUUUGGCGUCGAGUGGCGAACGGGUGAGUAACGCGUAGGAAUCUACCCAGUAGAGGGGGAUAGCCCGAAGAAAUUCGGAUUAAUACCGCAUAAUCUCUACGGAGUAAAGAAGGCCUCUUUACAAUGCUUUUACUAUUGGAUGAGCCUGCGUUAGAUUAGUUAGUUGGUAGGGUAAAAGCCUACCAAGGCGACGAUCUAUAGCUGGUUUUACGAGAAUGAUCAGCCACACUGGAACUGAGACACGGUCCAGACUCCUACGGGAGGCAGCAGUGAAGAAUAUUGGACAAUGGGGGAAACCCUGAUCCAGCAAUGUUGCGUGUGUGAAGAAGGUCCGAGGAUUGUAAAGCACUUUCAGUAAGCAAGAAAAAUGUAAAUCUAAUAGAUUUGCAUGUUGACCACUUAUAGAAGAAGCACCGGCUAACUCCGUGCCAGCAGCCGCGGUAAUACGGAGGGUGCGAGCGUUAAUCGGAAUUACUGGGCGUAAAGGGUAAGUAGGCGGUUUAUAAAGUCACAUGUGAAAGC
rnacentral:rRNA from 1 species